UACGACGGACCCGAGCGUUAUCCGGAUUUAUUGGGUUUAAAGGGUGCGUAGGCGGAUUUACAAGUCAGUGGUGAAAUCUCCCGGCUUAACCGGGAAACUGCCAUUGAAACUGUUUAUCUUGAGUACAUUUGAGGCGGGCGGAAUGUGUCAUGUAGAGGUGAAAUUCUUAGAUAUGACACAGAACACCAAUUGCGAAGGCAGCUCGCUAAACUGUAACUGACGCUGAGGCACGAAAGCGUGGGGAUCAAACAGG
rnacentral:rRNA from 1 species